GUACAGCCAGGUCUGCGGGCCGUGACAGGUCAACUAGUCGUUCACCCAGGUCUGCAGGCCGUGACAGGACAACUAGUCGUACAGCCAGGUCUGCGGGCCGUGACAGGUCAACUAGUCGUGAGUAUAGCCUUUCAUUGCUGAAUAUUGCAGGCAGGUCACUAGGACUAAUGAUAAUGAAUGACUGAUGUUUCUGCUCUGCAUU